rnacentral:lncRNA from 10 species
CCCGCGCGCCCGCGCGGCGGAGGAGAGGUGUUAAGUGUGAUGCUUCCAUAAUACAUUUGGAUGCUGUCAGCUAAGUUCACUUCUGAACUAAGGGGUUCCUCCAAAUGUUGGCUGAAAUUCAUCCCAAGGCUGGUCUGCAAAGUCUGCAAUUCAUAAUGGAGCUACUGUACUGGCUAUUGGAAGGAGGAGAUUCUGAAGAUAAGGAGGUAAAACCUGUUUAGAAAUUAAAAAUGAGUUACGAUUUAAAGAAAAUUCAGAUGACUCAUUGUGAGUGCUAGUUCUCUUGUAGGAUGCCACUGGAAAUGUUGAAAUGAAAAAUAUUCAGCCGUUGGUCUUUGAAAUUUCCUGUGAUGUGUUUCAAUCUAGAUGCAAAGAACAUGGAAAAAUCAAAGUGCUCGAGUGGUUUAAAUAUGUUUUGGGUAUUCCUGUUUAUAGACUAUAAUACUUUUCCAAUUAAAAUCCUCAGUUGUCACGCAGAAGAAGGUUAAGCUGUAUUUGAUUGCCAGUUUUACUGAAAAUGCUUAGUAUUUUACAGUAUCACCAAAUAUAUUUUGUUUAGCCAAGGUAUAGGAAAAAUAAAAUAAAUUGUAUAGGUUGACUUUUUUCUAAAAUGUCUUUAUUGGAUUGAAUGAAUGUUUAUACCUGAAAAAAAAAGGUUC